UGGGGAAUUUUGCGCAAUGGGCGAAAGCCUGACGCAGCGACGCCGCGUGAGGGAUGAAGGUCCUAGGAUUGUAAACCUCUGUCAGGAAGCAUUAAAUGCGCGGUUAUCAACACCAGCCGCGCUUGACUCAACUUCCAGAGGAAGCCCCGGCUAACUACGUGCCAGCAGCCGCGGUAAUACGUAGGGGGCAAGCGUUACUCGGAUUUAUUGGGCGUAAAGAGAAUUCAGGCGGUCAUGUAAGUCAGUGGUGAAAUACCUCGGCUCAACUGAGGAAUUGCCUUUGAUACUGCGUGACUUGAGGACAGGAGAGGAAGGCGGGAUUCCCGGUGUAGCGGUGGAAUGCGUAGAUAUCGGGAGGAACACCUGAGGCGAAGGCGGCUUCCUGGACUGGUCCUGACGCUGAUAUUCGAAAGCUAGGGGAGCAAACAGGAUUAGAUACCCUGGUAGUCCUAGCUGUAAACGAUGGAUACUAGAUCUCGCAUGAUUUUGCUUGGUCGAAGCUAACGCGUUAAGUAUCCCGCCUGGGGAGUACGGUCGCAAGGCUG
rnacentral:rRNA from 1 species